rnacentral:misc_RNA from 1 species
CAACCAAUCCAGCUCGCUGGGUCUUGGGCACCACCAGCUGGUGGGCCUCGAAAUCAGUGGCGGUCUAGCCAGGCUCUGAGCGUAGUAAAUCUCCUCGCUAUAGACUCUGGGUAGCACCUGCCAGAACCCCCCAUUUCUCCUU